UACGUAGGGUGCAAGCGUUGUCCGGAAUUAUUGGGCGUAAAGAGCUCGUAGGCGGUCUGUCGCGUCUGCUGUGAAAACUCGGGGCUUAACCCCGGGCCUGCAGUGGGUACGGGCAGACUAGAGUGCGGUAGGGGAGACUGGAAUUCCUGGUGUAGCGGUGAAAUGACGCAGAUAUCAGGAGGAACACCGGUGGCGAAGGCGGGUCUCUGGGCAUUACCUGACGCUGAGGAGCGAAAGUGUGGGGAGCGAACAGG
rnacentral:rRNA from 1 species